rnacentral:rRNA from 1 species
UUAGCGGCGGACGGGUGAGUAACACGUGGGUAACCUGCCUGUAAGACUGGGAUAACUCCGGGAAACCGGAGCUAAUACCGGAUAGUUCCUUGAACCGCAUGGUUCAAGGAUGAAAGACGGUUUCGGCUGUCACUUACAGAUGGACCCGCGGCGCAUUAGCUAGUUGGUGAGGUAACGGCUCACCAAGGCGACGAUGCGUAGCCGACCUGAGAGGGUGAUCGGCCACACUGGGACUGAGACACGGCCCAGACUCCUACGGGAGGCAGCAGUAGGGAAUCUUCCGCAAUGGACGAAAGUCUGACGGAGCAACGCCGCGUGAGUGAUGAAGGUUUUCGGAUCGUAAAGCUCUGUUGUUAGGGAAGAACAAGUGCAAGAGUAACUGCUUGCACCUUGACGGUACCU